rnacentral:rRNA from 1 species
GGUUCCUGUCCAACGUUAAUCGGGGCAGGGUGAGUCGACCCCUAAGGCGAGGCCGAAAGGCGUAGUCGAUGGGAAACAGGUUAAUAUUCCUGUACUUGGUGUUACUGCGAAGGGGGGACGGAGAAGGCUAUGUUGGCCGGGCGACGGUUGUCCCGGUUUAAGCGUGUAGGCUGGUUUUCCAGGCAAAUCCGGAAAAUCAAGGCUGAGGCGUGAUGACGAGGCACUACGGUGCUGAAGCAACAAAUGCCCUGCUUCCAGGAAAAGCCUCUAAGCAUCAGGUAACAUCAAAUCGUACCCCAAACCGACACAGGUGGUCAGGUAGAGAAUACCAAGGCGCUUGAGAGAACUCGGGUGAAGGAACUAGGCAAAAUGGUGCCGUAACUUCGGGAGAAGGCACGCUGAUAUGUAGGUGAAGUCCCUCGCGGAUGGAGCUGAAAUCAGUCGAAGAUACCAGCUGGCUGCAACUGUUUAUUAAAAACACAGCACUGUGCAAACACGAAAGUGGACGUAUACGGUGUGACGCCUGCCCGGUGCCGGAAGGUUAAUUGAUGGGGUUAGCGGUAACGCGAAGCUCUUGAUCGAAGCCCCGGUAAACGGCGGCCGUAACUAUAACGGUCCUAAGGUAGCGAAAUUCCUUGUCGGGUAAGUUCCGACCUGCACGAAUGGCGUAAUGAUGGCCAGGCUGUCUCCACCCGAGACUCAGUGAAAUUGAACUCGCUGUGAAGAUGCAGUGUACCCGCGGCAAGACGGAAAGACCCCGUGAACCUUUACUAUAGCUUGACACUGAACAUUGAGCCUUGAUGUGUAGGAUAGGUGGGAGGCUUUGAAGUGUGGACGCCAGUCUGCAUGGAGCCGACCUUGAAAUACCACCCUUUAAUGUUUGAUGUUCUAACGUUGACCCGUAAUCCGGGUUGCGGACAGUGUCUGGUGGGUAGUUUGACUGGGGCGGUCUCCUCCUAAAGAGUAACGGAGGAGCACGAAGGUUGGCUAAUCCUGGUCGGACAUCAGGAGGUUAGUGCAAUGGCAUAAGCCAGCUUGACUGCGAGCGUGACGGCGCGAGCAGGUGCGAAAGCAGGUCAUAGUGAUCCGGUGGUUCUGAAUGGAAGGGCCAUCGCUCAACGGAUAAAAGGUACUCCGGGGAUAACAGGCUGAUACCGCCCAAGAGUUCAUAUCGACGGCGGUGUUUGGCACCUCGAUGUCGGCUCAUCACAUCCUGGGGCUGAAGUAGGUCCCAAGGGUAUGGCUGUUCGCCAUUUAAAGUGGUACGCGAGCUGGGUUUAGAACGUCGUGAGACAGUUCGGUCCCUAUCUGCCGUGGGCGCUGGAGAACUGAGGGGGGCUGCUCCUAGUACGAGAGGACCGGAGUGGACGCAUCACUGGUGUUCGGGUUGUCAUGCCAAUGGCACUGCCCGGUAGCUAAAUGCGGAAGAGAUAAGUGCUGAAAGCAUCUAAGCACGAAACUUGCCCCGAGAUGAGUUCUCCCUGACUCCUUGAG